rnacentral:sRNA from 1 species
UUGAUUGAUUUGAAUGCAUUCAUAAAAUAGCUAUGAUAUGAGCAGUCCCAGCAAUAUGCCUCAGCCCUCUUCUGGAGGAUCUACCUCUUGAGGGUGAGAUGUAAUUUGGUUUCCCUUCAAUCCUUUGGCCUUU